GGGGGGUGUUACAGGACUACCAUACUGUUUAUAGCCAUUCAACUAUCGCUGGUCUAUCUUUCUCUCUAACGCUAUGAAAGCAGGAGAGAGACCUGCUCUUUAAUUUGAACCUCAUCAUCUAGAGCCUUAUUGUGGGGGUUACUCCUUCGAAGACAUUGGCAUUUUGCGCAUUUGAAAUCUCCCAUGAUGCCUUUAUAAAGAUUUCGAUAAGGAAUGGGAUGCGUGAGCGUUGUCUGGCCUCUGUGAUACGUGCUUGGAUGUCUUGCGACGCUGACCACGAGAUGCCUAGUUUUUGCUAGCAGGAGAUUGCAAAGGUGCAGUUGAAGAAAU
rnacentral:lncRNA from 1 species